rnacentral:rRNA from 1 species
GAUGAACGCUGACAGAAUGCUUAACACAUGCAAGUCAUUGGCGAAGCUGCGCUUGCGCAGUCUAGCCAAGGCGGACGGGUGAGUAACGCGUAAGGAACUUGCCCUGCAGACAGGGAUAACAGACGGAAACGACUGAUAACACCUGGUAUUGUCAGGCCGGCGCAUUCCGGGCUGAUGAAAGGAGACGCUGCAGGAGAGCCUUGCGUCCUAUUAGCUAGUUGGUGGGGUAACGGCCCACCAAGGCGAUGAUAGGUAGCCGGCCUGAGAGGGUGAACGGCCACAAGGGGACUGCGAUACGGCCCUUACUCCUACGGGAGGCAGCAGUGGGGAAUAUUGGACAAUGGGGGCAACCCUGAUCCAGCAAUUCUGUGUGCACGAAGAAGGUUUUCGGAUUGUAAAGUGCUUUCAGCAGGGAAGAAGAAAGUGACGGUACCUGCAGAAGAAGCGACGGCUAAAUACGUG